CCCCUCGGGGCUCCUUGGUGAUUCAUAAUAACUUAACGAAUCGCAUGGCCUUGCGCCGGCGAUGGUUCAUUCAAAUUUCUGCCCUAUCAACUUUCGAUGGUAGGAUAGUGGCCUACCAUGGUGGCAACGGGUAACGGGGAAUUAGGGUUCGAUUCCGGAGAGGGAGCCUGAGAAACGGCUACCACAUCCAAGGAAGGCAGCAGGCGCGCAAAUUACCCAAUCCCGACACGGGGAGGUAGUGACAAUAAAUACUGAUACGGGGCUCUUUUGGGUCUCGUAAUUGGAAUGAGAACAAUUUAAAUCCCUUAACGAGGAACAAUUGGAGGGCAAGUCUGGUGCCAGCAGCCGCGGUAAUUCCAGCUCCAAUAGCGUAUAUUAAAGUUGUUGCAGUUAAAAAGCUCGUAGUUGAACCUUGGGUCUGGCUGGCCGGUCCGCCUCACCGCGAGUACUGGUCCGGCUGGACCUUUCCUUCUGGGGAACCCCAUGGCCUUCACUGGCUGUGGGGGGAACCAGGACUUUUACUGUGAAAAAAUUAGAGUGUUCAAAGCAGGCCUUUGCUCGGAUACAUUAGCAUGGAAUAAUAGAAUAGGACGUGCGGUUCUAUUUUGUUGGUUUCUAGGACCGCCGUAAUGAUUAAUAGGGAUAGUCGGGGGCGUCAGUAUUCAGCUGUCAGAGGUGAAAUUCUUGGAUUUGCUGAAGACUAACUACUG
rnacentral:rRNA from 2 species